AUUGAGCGCUGGCGGCAUGCCUUACACAUGCAAGUCGAACGGCAGCACGGACUUCGGUCUGGUGGCGAGUGGCGGACGGGUGAGUAACGCGUAGGAAUCUGCCUAUUAGUGGGGGACAACUUAUGGAAACGUAAGCUAAUACCGCAUACGCCCUGAGGGGGAAAGGAGGGGAUCUUCGGACCUUUCGCUAAUAGAUGAGCCUGCGUAGGAUUAGCUAGUUGGUGGGGUAAAGGCUCACCAAGGCGACGAUCCUUAGCUGUUCUGAGAGGACGAUCAGCCACACUGGGACUGAGAAACGGCCCAGACUCCUACGGGAAGCAGCAGUGGGGAAGAUUGGACAAGGGGCGCAAGCCUGAUCCAGCAAUACCGCGUGUGUGAAGAAGGCCUUAGGGUUGUAAAGCACUUUUAAUAGGGAGGAAUACCUAGUGGCUAAUACCCACUAGACUGACAUUACCUAUAGAAAAAGCACCGGCUAACUCCGUGCCAGCCGCCGCCGUAAGAC
rnacentral:rRNA from 1 species